rnacentral:lncRNA from 1 species
GAGAAUAUAAUAAAAGUAGGUGGUAGAAGAGAGAAGGUAAUAAAAGUGAUAAAGUAGGUGAGAGAAUAUAAUAAAAGUGAUAAAGUAGGAGAGAGAAUGUAAUAAUUAUUGACAAAAAAGGAAACGUGUCAUGCUUCGUGGGACAACCCAAAAUGGAAAAUGUGUCAUGCUUCGCGGGACGGAGGGAGUAAUACAGAACGACCAAUAUUGAAGGAUUUUAUUUAAAUCACUUCACAACUCUUAAUCCCUUACCAUCACAACCUUACAACCCUACACCUAUACUACAACUCUAUUCUACCACCUGCAACAAAGGAAAAAAAAAAGAGAGAGAGAGGGAGAGAAUAAGAUCAGUUGCGUCCCCUCCCCAUUUUCUGUAACAACUGCAGCAGCAGUAAGCACUCCACCUCUGCCACAACAGCCAUACCCAAGGUACACAGGGACUCACAUCAGCCACCCUACCAUUUAGUAGGUACUCAAGCUCCAGCCAGCCUUCUUCCCUUUUUACCUCUCAUUUCAGCAAACAACCUCCUAACACUUCCCUCUCCAUUAUACUCUAACAGCUCACGUGAAGAAGGGAGGAAAUCAUUCAUCCAUCUCUGCCAAGGAGGUAAACUUCUUUAACUCUCUUCAACUCCUCCAAGAUUUCACCUGCAUUAAUGCAAGAACAACCACUGUUAUGUUUCAGUUACCCCUAAUUAAGAUCAGUCAACUACAGCAGCAGAUAAUAUAACCAACACCAAGCAAUUUCAAGGUAAGCUUCACCUUGAACUUUAUUACUCCCUGCCACAAUUUCACCUUCAUUCAUUAAGGCAGUUACCAACAUUAUUCUAUUUCAGUUUCCAUCCCCUGCAUUUAAUUCAACACAGCAGCAAACAGCCACCACAACCAUAUCCUCAAGGUAUUAUACGUUAUCCCAGUUCACUAUCUCCAUGUACAUGCUUCACACAUCAUCAUAGCAUGAUUUUUUUUUAAUGAAUGCUGCUAAUAGGAGAUGAGCAUGAUUAGUUAUUCACAUAAGUUUAUGUAGCAAUAGCAGACUACACUUCCUUUACUCUAGGGAUAUAGAGAUAUGUUACAUCUGAUUCAUGUAUUCGAUGAACAACAAUGGACUCCACAGACACAGAAUAUGGGGAACACUUUAACUCACCACUAUUACUGAUAGACGAACAAAUACGACCACAACAUGCUCACUUUUAGAACAAUUAAUCUCUGGCUUCUCUUGCUCGAAUAAGCCUCUAUGUGUAUCGAUACUCCAUUGCAAUGAAAAGAAGAAGAAGCAAGAUUAAAACUUAGCUUUAGGUUGAGGGGGGGACUACUGCCAGCUCUGAAUCGGGGAUGACGGCGCACCGAACCAGAGCUGUGGCGACUUCGCCGAUUCUUGGAAUCUGCCAGCGGUGGCGAAUGAAAUCCAGACACGGCAGUCUCGCCGAAAAUCGCACGCCGAGGCGACGGACGGAGGCUCAACAUCCUUCAAGCGGCGGCAAAGUUGAGAGAUGGCGUCGGGCUCAGGUUCUACAUCGGCGCCACCAAGAACUGAGGGAGAACGACGACUAACAGGCGCCGGUGUUACAGGACGCGGCGGCGUCGAACAGAGGGAGGCGAUUUCUGAUUUUUGGAAAGCUAGGGCUUUUACUCCAUUCUUCAUUUGGGGAUUUCGAUUGAGAGGCAAAUCGAGAGAGGGGGGAGGUCUGAGGAGGCAGUGCGACGCCGGAAUCGAAAGCAGCGACCACUCGCCGGAUUCUCAGAGACGACGGUGGUGAGUCGCCGGAUUUACAGAAACCACGGCGGCGGCGGACCCAACGAAGGAGAAACAUUUAGGGCUCGAUUUGGGGCUCUGCUUGUGCAGCGGUGAAGAGAGGGUUUUAGGUGAGGAGGCGGCGCAGUCAACAGGUGAACGCCAGCCACGCCGGCAGCUGGUCGCCGGACUUCAGGAGAUCGCGGCGGCAGCGGAAGCCUCGACGAAGGCGGAGCGAGAGAUAGGAAGAGAGAGAGAGGCGUUUCUGAUUUGAGAAGAGAGGAAUCGUGAGUUGGGGGAGAAAAGAGAGGAAUUGGGUUUUUUUUUCUUGGGCCUGAUUUGUUUUUCUUGGGCCUAAUUCUUUUAAAAUCUGAUUGGGCCUCUCAUUAUUUUUGUAUUGGACCUGUUCUUUUUUUAUUGGGCUGGAUUUAAUUAAAAAAGGGCUGACUUAUUUCCUUAAAUGAGCCCAGGUUUGUUAUUAAGUAGAGUGGACUGAUUAGAAUUAAUUAAAUUGGGUUUUUAUUAUUUAUCCUAUAUUUAAGUCUAAUUGAAAAUCAGUUUUAAGACUU